rnacentral:rRNA from 1 species
AUUGAACGCUGGCGGCAUGCCUUACACAUGCAAGUCGAACGGCAGCACGGGUGCUUGCACCUGGUGGCGAGUGGCGAACGGGUGAGUAAUAUAUCGGAACGUACCUUAUCGUGGGGGAUAACGCAGCGAAAGCUGUGCUAAUACCGCAUAAGCCCUAAGGGGGAAAGCAGGGGACCGUAAGGCCUUGCGCGAUUAGAGCGGCCGAUACCUGAUUAGCUAGUUGGUGAGGUAAAGGCUCACCAAGGCAACGAUCAGUAGCUGGUCUGAGAGGACGAUCAGCCACACUGGGACUGAGACACGGCCCAGACUCCUACGGGAGGCAGCAGUGGGGAAUUUUGGACAAUGGGGGCAACCCUGAUCCAGCAAUGCCGCGUGAGUGAAGAAGGCCUUCGGGUUGUAAAGCUCUUUUGUCAGGGAAGAAACAGCAGCUCUAAUACAGUAUGCGAAUGACGGUACCUGAAGAAUAAGCACCGGCUAACUACGUGCCAGCAGCCGCCGCAG